rnacentral:rRNA from 1 species
UACGUAGUGUGCAAGCGUUGUUCGGAAUCAUUGGGCGUAAAGCGCGUGUAGGUGGUCAGGUAAGUCGGGUGUGAAAUCCCUAGGCUCAACCAAGGAAGUGCAUUCGAAACUCCCUGACUAGAGGACGGUAGAGGAAGGUGAAUUCCUAGUGUAGAGGUGAAAUUCGUAGAUAUUAGGAGGAAUACCGGCGGCGAAGGCGGCCUUCUGGGCCGGUAUUGACGCUGAGGAGCGAAAGCCAGGGGAGCAAACGGG